AGGGUAUGGGGUUCAGUCGGGUCAGCUUCAAAGCCGUACAUGUGCGCCGAGUUUGGCGCCAAGAGAAGAAAGUGUUAGUUAUUAUUAAGAAACUCAAACGGUACCGGAAUUUUCCCCCAAUUCUGCCGGAGUACAAACCCCGCCGUAUCUCUUCUCAACCUCACAUUCCGGUUCCCACCGCCCCCGCUUCCGUUAUUCAGAUUGAAUUUCCUUCUCUUAAUUCCUCGCAAUUUUGUCGAAUCGGUAACGGAAAAAGGCCGUCCUGGAAGUCAAUUCGGCCGCCUUAGUAACGACUAUUCUGUCGUCAUCCUCAUAUCGGUACGAUACAGAUACCUAAUUCUAUCUCCACAUGCCGCUCGUCGGACGGUCAUCUGAUUAUUUCUGUAUUACUUUCAUUUGGUUCUUCGUGAGCACAGUUUCCUAUAUAUUUUUUAAAUUAUUGAAAUUCCUUGUGAUAAGAAAAUCAUAAUUCUAUCUUCACAUUUAGCUAUACUUUCAUAACAUUUUGAGCAUGUUGUACAUUGUACUUUAGGCUAGCUUCAUUUUGUAUUCAAAAAUAUAGUCUUCUGUAAGAUCAAAGGCCCCUUUCGAUAUCUAGUCUUCUUUAAAAUGGAAGAAGUUCACAAAUUUGAUUGAAGAAUUGGAAACUGAGAUUAUACUUAUGUUCUUCAGUUCAUUUUUAGUAACACAAAUACCGAAGCAUUCAUUAUUGGUUGUCUACUUUCGCUGUUCUUAGGUGACCUCAAAACAUUUUAUCUUCGUAUUAGAAGAACUUAAGCUUAGGAGCUUGCGAGGUAGAGCUUUGCAGAGGACAUCAGUUCUUUGUUCAACAGAGCUGGUGUCCUCAACAUAUAUCAAUCCCAUUAAAAGUUCAACAAGCUUACGGCUUGUAAAUGCCUGUGAUUUUCAAUUUGAAAGAGCAUUGUAACAAGGGAAAGAAUGGGACAGAACCGGUUACCGUUAAAGAGACUGACUAGUGUCAACCGUAGGAUAGCCUACUCGAGACGAAAGAAGGGUCUGAUGAAGAAAGCUAGAGAGUUGUCUGUCUUGUGUGGUGUUGAAGUGGUUCUUGUCACAUUUUCACCUGGUGGUAAACCGUAAACCUACUGUAUUCAUUACAGAGAAUAGUUCCAUCGAAGAUGUGAUUGAGAAGUUUGCACAACUGAAGCCAGAAGAAAGGGCAAAAGAGAAACUGGAGUGCCUUUAAGUGGUGAAGAAAGCUUGCAAAAAGUUUGAUCACCAUGUAGACAUCAGGGAACUUUUUUAUCCAGGGGAUCUUUCAGAUGAGGAUUUGACAUCUCUGGCUGAUUCGGUGAGAACUCGACUUUCUGACACCCAAAACAGAUUCAGCCAUUGGAUGAACAUAGACAAGAUCAGUAAUACUGAUCAACUUGAGAAAAUGGAGGAAUCAUUAAUCAACUCACUCCAAGACAUUCAGAGACAUAAGUUGCAACAUGUGACAGAUUUACCAAUUGGUAUGGGUACAAGUCAAGUGCUCCAGCCUUCUUCAUGGUAUUAAUCAAAACAUCGACUUCGACAAGUACCUAAAUUUAACCCAAGGCUAUCACAGAUGUAUUGUCUCCAGGCUUCCAGAGUGUUCAUUCGAGAGCUAUACAAAUCUUUUUUGCUUUGAUGAAGAAGUGGAGGUGACAAGACCCGGUGGAGAAGAUAGAUCUAAUCCACUUCUGGACUAUGAGCACAUGCAAUCUGAAUUCACUUUUGAAGUUGAACCAACAGAUCCUUUGGAUGUGUUGGAGAACAAUUUUGACAACAGCAUUCUGAACGUCUUCAGUGUGGUUCUUACCGUAUGAAUCCUAGUUGGAACUCGAGUACAUCAGAACAUCAUGGUACUGGAGUGUGUCCCAGUAUCUAUCCUAGUUGGGAAUCUACUUCAGGAACUUAUAGCUCCACACUCUUUGAUGAUCAACUUUAUUUUCC